AGUGGCAGACGGGUGAGUAAUGUAUAGGAAUCUACCUAGUAGUACGGAAUAAUUGUUGGAAACGGCAACUAAUACCGUAUACGCCCUACGGGGGAAAGAUUUAUCGCUAUUAGAUGAGCCUAUAUUAGAUUAGCUAGUUGGUAAGGUAAUGGCUUACCAAGGCAAUGAUCUAUAGCUGAUCUGAGAGGAUGAUCAGCCACACUGGAACUGAGAUACGGUCCAGACUCCUACGGGAGGCAGCAGUGGGGAAUAUUGGACAAUGGGCGAAAGCCUGAUCCNNCCAUGCCGCAUGAGUGAAGAANGCCUUUGGGUUGUAAAGCUCUUUCGGUGGGGAAGAUAAUGACGGUACUCACAGAAGAAGUCCUGGCUAACUCCGUGCCAGCAGCCGCGGUAAUACGGAGAGGGCUAGCGUUAUUC
rnacentral:rRNA from 1 species